CCUACGGGAGGCUGCAGUGGGGAAUAUUGCACAAUGGGCGCAAGCCUGAUGCAGCCAUGCCGCGUGUGUGAAGAAGGCCUUCGGGUUGUAAAGCACUUUCAGCGGGGAGGAAGGCGUUAAGGUUAAUAACCUUGUCGAUUGACGUUACCCGCAGAAGAAGCACCGGCUAACUCCGUGCCAGCAGCCGCGGUAAUACGGAGGGUGCAAGCGUUAAUCGGAAUUACUGGGCGUAAAGCGCACGCAGGCGGUCUGUCAAGUCGGAUGUGAAAUCCCCGGGCUCAACCUGGGAACUGCAUUCGAAACUGGCAGGCUAGCGUCUUGUAGAGGGGGGUAGAAUUCCAGGUGUAGCGGUGAAAUGCGUAGAGAUCUGGAGGAAUACCGGUGGCGAAGGCGGCCCCCUGGACAAAGACUGACGCUCAGGUGCGAAAGCGUGGGGAGCAAACAGGAUUAGAUACCCCUGUAGUC
rnacentral:rRNA from 1 species